rnacentral:rRNA from 1 species
GAUGAACGCUGGCGGCGUGCCUAAUACAUGCAAGUCGAGCGAACGGACGAGAAGCUUGCUUCUCUGAUGUUAGCGUCGGACGGGUGAGUAACACGUGGAUAACCUACCUAUAAGACUGGGAUAACUUCGGGAAACCGGAGCUAAUACCGGAUAAUAUUUUGAACCGCAUGGUUCAAAAGUAAAAGACGGUCUUGCUGUCACUUAUAGAUGGAUCCGCGCUGCAUUAGCUAGUUGGUAAGGUAACGGCUUACCAAGGCAACGAUGCAUAGCCGACCUGAGAGGGUGAUCGGCCACACUGGAACUGAGACACGGUCCAGACUCCUACGGGAGGCAGCAGUAGGGAAUCUUCCGCAAUGGGCGAAAGCCUGACGGAGCAACGCCGCGUGAGUGAUGAAGGUCUUCGGAUCGUAAAACUCUGUUAUUAGGGAAGAACAUAUGUGUAAGUAACUGUGCACAUCUUGACGGUACCUAAUCAGAAAGCCACGGCUAACUACGUG